rnacentral:rRNA from 1 species
UGCGCAGGCGGUUUCGCAAGUCAGAUGUGAAAGCCCCGGGCUUAACCUGGGAACUGCAUUUGAAACUACGAGGCUAGAGUGUGUCAGAGGGGGGUAGAAUUCCACGUGUAGCAGUGAAAUGCGUAGAGAUGUGGAGGAAUACCGAUGGCGAAGGCAGCCCCCUGGGAUAACACUGACGCUCAUGCACGAAAGCGUGGGGAGCAAACA